rnacentral:lncRNA from 1 species
UCUGCACUACUUUUAUCUUUUAUUUUCUUUCCUUUUCUUCUUACCUUCCUUCCUACUCUCCUUUAUUUUUGGAAGCUGCAUUCACCCUACUGGAAGAACCUAUUCUGAACAUAAAGUAAUUUGCCUCAUCCUGCUUAUCCCCAUGACAAAUAGUUUAAGUAGCAUCUGGUGAGACAAGAGAAAAGAGUAACUAUACAUUUACCCUUCUGCACCCUCAUCUUCUACCCAGCUGUCUCUCCUCCCUUUUCCUCUUUAUCAAUAUUUUCCCCUUCUUUGGACCAACUAUUUAAACUGUUCUUAAAAUUUAUUAAAUAGAAGUGGACCUCCAGCAAUUUUUCUUGCUCCUAUAAUCUAAAGUAUUCAAACUCCUCACUUGAAACAUGAAAGAAAAUCAGGAUGUAAACGUUCCCCUUUUUAAACUUUUUUAUUUUCUAAACCAUCUUCCUCUGCAUAAAGUCAGUCUGCCACUCUAAACAGCACUUGUCAGGAAUGUGUGAAGUUAUUAAAAGAGAAGGAACUUUAGAAGAUCUAAAUUCAAAUUACCUUGACUACCAUUCUUUAGUAAUAAAAGGGGAGAUAGAAAGAAGACAGAAACCACCAGAUUUUCUAAAAUCUCCAGCAAUAUUCAUCCAUCUAAAGCAUCUGAGAAACAAUGACCCAAGUUAUAUUGGGAGAGAUAUUUUAGCUCUCUUGCCUGAAUCUAACUCACAGAAACUGGGGAAAUAUCAAAAAUCACUUAUUCUAAAUGUUUCGGUCAAGAAGUGUUUUGGAUUUCAGAUUUUGGAAUAUUUGCAUAUACAUAGUGAGAUAUCUUAGGGGUGGGACCCAAGUCUAAACACAAAAUUCAUUUAUGUUUUAUAUGCCCUUUAAACACCAUAGCCUGAAGUUAAUUUAAUAUAAUAUUUUUAAUAGUUUUGUGCAUGAAACAAAGUUUUGACUGUUUGACUGUAACCCAUUACCUAAAGUCAGGUGUGGAAUUUUCCACUUGUUACCUGGAGUGCAUCAUGUUGGCAUUGAAAUAGUUUUGGAUUUUGGAGCAUCGGAUUUCAGAUUUUUGGAUUAAGGAUGUUCAACCUGUAUUAGAUAGCCUGGUGCUUUUCUCCUCAUAAUCACUCCAAUAAUAAUGAAAGGAUAAUCAUAAAGAUGACAACAAUUACAACAAAGAUGAUAAAAAAAAUUAAGCCACUUGGCAACACUAUUUGUGGCCUCAUGAAAAUGACUCCCAAUGUCAUAAUUCCCUCUGAGAUCCCCACAAUAAAAAACUAUUGGAACUAGAACUGCAUACCGCAGUUAUUGGUCAUUUCACAUGGUGCCAUGUUCAGGCAUAGCUGGUAUGAGUGCUAUUUGCUUUCAUCCAGGGGAGCCAUUCUCAGUAAGCUUCAUCUCUGUGCUGAUGAGAGCCUGGGUCUGUUCUUCUAGCCCAGGAUCUUCACAUCUCUCAAAGGACUGCAGCUCUCCUUAGAUAUUCUGUGUACCACAGGAAGGGGCUGUACCAAUUUACAGCAAUCUCUUUUCAACAUGGUAACUAAUGCAAGUAUUAGACCACAAGGCUUCUCUUUGGAAACUUGUCCAAAGGCUGUCAUCUCUGCUAUUCAUUCAUUCAUUCAUUUAGUCAACAAAUAUUUAUUAAGCAACAAACGUGUGCAAGGCACUGUUCUUGGCAUAGUGAACAAAACAGAUUAAAAUUCUGAUCUUGUGGAACUUGCAUUCUAAUAAGGGAGACAAUUUUUUUUUAAAAUGAAGUAAAAUAGAUAGGGCGAUAGGGAGUGCUGGGCCCAGGAAGAAAGGGUUACAAUACUAAAUAUGAUAGUUAGGGAAGCCCUCAAAUUUGAACAAGGAUCUGCAGGAAGUGAAGUAUGUUGAUAUCUGGGGAAGAGGGAACAACAAAAGCAAAGGAAUUGAUACAGGAAUGUUGCUGGUGUCUGAGAUAUGGCAAGCAGGUCUGGGUGGCCAGAGAGGAGUAAAGUAGGAAAAAAGGAAAAGUAGGUGGGGUUGGAAAAAUAAUGGGGAGCCAAGACUGGGUAAGGUUUUGUAGGCUAUUGUAAGUACUUAGACUUCUACUAAGUGAUGGAAAGCAACUGAUAAAAGUUGACUUUCAAUUGGAAAGAGCCAUGAAAGUUGAUGGAUGGUCAACUUUUGACCUGAGGAAUGACAUGACCUAUUGUAGGUUUUAGAAAAGUCCUUCCGGUAGAUUUAAUGAACAUUCACUGAAAGAUAAAAAAGAGGGUAAUUGAAAUAAUCCAUGCAAGAGAUGAUUGUAGCUUGGAUAAGGAUGGUAGUAGAGGGGUGGUGAGAAGUGGUAAGAGUUUUGCUGAAGGAUUAUACAUGGGUUGUAGGUAAGAAACCUCAAGGUUGAUACCAGGAUGUUUGAUCUGAGCAGCUAGAUGGAUGAAGUUGACAUUUAUCGCAGGACAGUUCCCUGAAUGGCCCUGGACCCACCCAGUUCUCCCCCUUUCUUGUUUACAGUUACCAAGAAUAACUGUAAAAUGUGCUGGGAAUGCAAUGUCCUGAGAUAAGGAAGAACUGCCUGAAACAGCCUGGAUCUUAUUCCUGUACUUCCUAGGGAAUGUAACAUCUCAAGUUAAAGAGGAACUGCCCGGAACAGCCCGGGGAUUGUUCCUCUCUCCUGAGAAGGAAGAUUACCUCCAAAGCUCAUCCACUGAGUCACACUGCCCCUGUGGUGGAGGGCGGGCUGCCUUUCCAGGUUCCUCAGCUGUGGUGUAACUGAAGCAGGCACAAUCAAGACUCCAUCUGCUCGAGGCAGCUUUCUCGAACCUUGGGGAACCUACUCACAAUGGAUCACAGGCUUCUUUUGUUUUGUUUCUUGCUGCCUAUCUGUAAGUAAUUAACUUGCUUCAUGUAACGUGUUGCAUAUGAGUGUGUUCUGUCUCAUAGACUCAGGGAAUUGGUAACACUGCAGCUGAGGACGCAGUGGACAGAAGUGUUCAGACUCCUGUUCCUUGUGGUUGACACAGUGAUGAUGAUCUCUUCUGUCCUCCACAGAGUGGAAGUCCUCUCUUGGGAUUGGUUAUUGGUGAAACCACUUCGCAAUUUAUUAAGAUGGCAAAAGCUUACGGAGGGACAGAUUUGAGGGGAAGAUCAAGAUUUUUCUGUCAGUAUUGCAAAUAGUCAAGAAUAUGUGGUCCAAGAAGUGAUCAUUAUCUUUGGCAUUGUGCAAGUCAUUAGUGACCUUCACAUGAACAGUCUCAGUGGAGUGUUGGAGGAAAAAGCCUAACUGAAGAAGGUUCAAGAGUGAAUGGAAAAAGAGCAGUAGUAUGUGGAGAGUACAGACAAGUAUUUCCAGGAGCCUUUCUGUAAAGAGUGGUAGAGAAUGGGACAUCAUUUUUGGAUGGGGGAAGAGUUAUUUAUAGCAUGUUCAUAUGCUAAUGGAAGUGAUCUACUCAUGGGGAAAAUCUUGAUGAUGCAAGAAAGAAAGGGAUUUGUUGGAAUCUUGUCCUAUAACGGGUGAGAGGGGAUGGGUUCUAGAAGAAAAGGCAUGGGUCUUUGUUUGAGAUCAGGCAAUUCAUCUGUAGGAACCAGUAGGAAGAUGGUUAAGUGGGUACCUGUGGUAGUGGAUGUUUGUGAACAUUCUUUUCUUUUCCAUUGUUUCUAUUUUCUCAAUAAAGUGGGAAGCAAAAAUCAGCUGAGUGAAGAUGAGGAAGAAGGUGUUAAAGGUUUGAAGAAAAAAGGAAAAGGAUAUACUAAUCUAAGAGGACAAGCUGAUCUGAAACUCCAGGGCUCAACCAACCCUCCUGCUUCAGUCUCCAGAGUAACUGGG